rnacentral:rRNA from 1 species
UACAGAGGUCUCAAGCGUUGUUCGGAUUUAUUGGGCGUAAAGGGCGCGUAGGCGGCGGGGUAAGUCGGGUGUGAAAUCUCAGGGCUCAACCCUGAAACUGCACUUGAUACUGCUCUGCUUGAGGACUGGAGAGGAGACUGGAAUUCACGGUGUAGCAGUGAAAUGCGUAGAUAUCGUGAGGAAGACCAGUGGCGAAGGCGGGUCUCUGGACAGUUCCUGACGCUGAGGGCGCGAAGGCCAGGGGGAGCAAACGGGG